UGAUAGCUAAUAAUAUUGUAACAUCGUUACAUUACCCUAAACACAUUCGGAGAAAAAUAUUUUCUUAGAAUCAUUCUAAGAAAAUAUUUUUCUAAGUAUCUCUAUAAGCUAAAUUAGAAGGUUCGUUUAUUCUCGUUGUAGCCCAGAAUAUUGAUUUUUGAUUUGGUUCUGCUGUUGGACCACUUUCAUAUAGUUUUGAUUACUUUAAUUGAACAAAGUUCGAAACGGUAUUUAUUUCAUACCAAAAUUCUGCUCAAAUUUCACCCAUGUUUGGGUAUUAAACGUCAAGAAUUACUCGACAGAUUCCUAAUACAGUUUUCCCAUAUAGGGUUAACGUUAAGAAAUACUUAACAGACUUUUAUAACUUAUCUCCUGCGACCCAAAAUGUUCCCUUUUUAAAUGGAACCAAAUUACUCCUUUUAAUAAUAACGACUAAUAAGAGGUAUCUAAUAGCAAUCAAACUGCCAGCAUAAUCAAGUGGUCCAUCAUUCUGACCUCUACUGUAAGUGACAGCAUAACCGAUGAACUUCUGACGAAGUUGACGUUUGCUCAUGUUCAUUCGGCAAAACAUUGUUUUGAUUUAACUCGCUCCUGCAAUAGUUUAAUUUAUUUUAGUAUUUCCAUUAGUUAAUACAGGUUUAAAUGCAUGUUGCUGCUGAACUUCUAUGUGGAUCCGGAGUAUGAAAAUGAAUUGAGCUCGAAGUCAUGUUGCUGUAAUUUCAUCGCCCAACGCACUAGUCGAGCCGAAUUGCCCUCCACUGAAACUUGAUUCAGCCAUUUCAACGACUGCGCAUCAGUGAUUACUUUGAAUACGGUUCCCUCGACAUAGUGUCGGAACCUUUCAAUCGCUAGUAUGACGCCCAGACAUUCUCGCUCCGUGGCAGAAUAUUUUUGUUGGGUAGCCGACAGCUUUUUUGAAUAGAACGAAAUGGGUCUCUUCAAGCCUUCUUGCACCUGCAUGAGAACUGCCCCAACGGCAUGAGCUGACGCAUCAGACUCAAUGAUGAAUUGCGCUCCAAACUUGGGAUUUGCGAGAAUCGGUGGAGAUGAGGUCCGUUAUGGGCGAUAGGAUUUCACUGUAGUUGGGAAUAAACUGCUUGAAGAACCCAAUCAUACCGAUUAAGCAGCGGAUUUCUUUCACUGUUUUUGGCGCCGGAUAGCUGAGGAUUGGUUCCAGCUUCUCGCUGUCUAUUGAAAUUCCCUCAUCGGACAGUAUGUAACCUAGCAAAACCCGUUGGUUGGGCGCCAAUGAAACAAGCGGGGAAGCUCACUAAACUAACUUUGCUUCCGCGCCAGGCAGCGAAGCUGCCGCAAAGCCGCGAUGUAACAAAUGCCCGAUGAGACUCUGAUAGGUUCACUUCCGAAACACACAAGCCACUAACAACCCAUUAAAGAACCAACACUUUCCGAAAUUAUUUCUAG